UACGUAGGCAGCGAGCGUUGUUCGGAAUUACUGGGCUUAAAGAGUUCGUAGGCGGUUCGGUAAGUGAGGUGUGAAAGCCCUCGGCUCAACCGAGGAAUUGCGCUUCAAACUGCCGGGCUCGAGGGAGAUAGAGGUGAGCGGAACUGAUGGUGGAGCGGUGAAAUGCGUUGAUAUCAUCAGGAACACCAGAGGCGAAGGCGGCUCACUGGGUCUCUUCUGACGCUGAGGAACGAAAGCUAGGGGAGCAAACGGG
rnacentral:rRNA from 1 species